UUUUAUGAGAGUUUGAUCCUGGCUCAGGACGAACGCUGGCGGCGUGCCUAAUACAUGCAAGUCGAACGCUUCUUUUUCCACCGGAGCUUGCUCCACCGGAAAAAGAGGAGUGGCGAACGGGUGAGUAACACGUGGGUAACCUGCCCAUCAGAAGGGGAUAACACUUGGAAACAGGUGCUAAUACCGUAUAACAAUCAAAACCGCAUGGUUUUGAUUUGAAAGGCGCUUUCGGGUGUCGCUGAUGGAUGGACCCGCGGUGCAUUAGCUAGUUGGUGAGGUAACGGCUCACCAAGGCCACGAUGCAUAGCCGACCUGAGAGGGUGAUCGGCCACAUUGGGACUGAGACACGGCCCAAACUCCUACGGGAGGCAGCAGUAGGGAAUCUUCGGCAAUGGACGAAAGUCUGACCGAGCAACGCCGCGUGAGUGAAGAAGGUUUUCGGAUCGUAAAACUCUGUUGUUAGAGAAGAACAAGGA
rnacentral:rRNA from 1 species